GCAAGAGCGCAUGAACUUGCCUCAGCCCCAUUUAUAUAGUUCAUGAUUGAUGGAGACCCAGAUGUGUCUAUUUUGAAAACCAGUUAACAUCCUGAUCGGGCACGUUGAGGUUCAGCAUGCCAAUGCUCAAGGCAUUUAUGCAGCAGCAAAAGAGGCAUUCUCUGCUCUAGGACCACAGUGCAAAAAUUGGCUGAAAAAAAAACUGUAGCUGGGGCAGCUGUAAAUCUUGGACACAAGCGGGGGGUAAUAUCCCUUGUCCAGGCAGAGGCAGGGAACUACAUUGUUCCUUUCCAUUGUAUGCCUCACAGGCUUGAUCUGGCUCUGUUGUCAGUGCAAAAGGAAAACCCAAUGAUUGGGAAAGU